rnacentral:misc_RNA from 1 species
GAUGGUCAAAGAUGGAUGCCAACCAAAUGUAGUGACAUAUAACCGUCUCAUUCAUAGUUAUGGCAGAGCAAACUACUUGCGUGAAGCAUUACAUGUCUUUAGUCAAAUGCAGGAAGCUAGAGUUGAACCUGACCGUGUAACCUAUUGUACUCUUAUUGACAUCCAUGCAAAAGCUGGUUACCUUGAUGUUGCUAUGGACUUGUAUGAAAGGAUGCAAGAUGCUGGGCUCUCUCCCGACACUUUUACUUACAGUGUCAUUAUUAAUUGCCUUGGAAAAGCAGGCCAUUUAGAUGCUGCGCACAAACUGUUCUGUGAGAUGGUUAAUCAGGGUUGUGUGCCAAACUUGGUAACCUACAACAUUAUGAUUGCAUUGCAUGCAAAAGCAAGGAACUAUUCUAGUGCAUUACAAUUAUAUCGAGACAUGCAGAAUGCUGGAUUUGAGCCAGACAAGGUGACAUACAGCAUUGUGAUGGAGGUGCUUGGCCAUUGUGGCUAUCUGGAGGAAGCUGAGGCAGUUUUUACUGAGAUGAAAAGGAAGAAUUGGGUACCUGAUGAACCUGUAUAUGGUCUUCUAGUGGACUUAUGGGGAAAGGCUGGGAAUGUAGAAAAGGCUUGGAACUGGUAUCAUGCGAUGAUUAAUGCAGGUUUAUGCCCCAAUGUGCCUACAUGCAAUUCUCUGCUCAGUGCUUUCCUUAGAGUUCACCGGUUGCCUGAUGCGUACGACUUGCUUCAAAGCAUGCUUGAAUUAGGUCUGAACCCUUCUCUGCAAACUUAUACCUUGCUCCUCAGCUGCUGCACAGAAGCUCAAACAUCAUUUGACAUGUCAUUUUGUUGUGAGCUGAUGGCAGUCACACGUCACCCAGCACACACAUUCCUUCUGACCAUGCCAGCAGCAGGACCCGAUGGGCAGAAUGUGAGGGAUCACGUGGGCAGCUUUUUGGAUCUGAUGCAUAGUGAGGACAGAGAGAGUAAAAGGGGUCUUGUUGAUUCAGUUGUUGAUUUUCUGCACAAAUCAGGACUCAAGGAAGAAGCUGGAUCUGUCUGGGAGGUGGCAGCGGACAAGAAUGUCUACCCGGAUGCAGUUAGAGAAAAAAGCUCCUCAUAUUGGCUUAUAAACCUCCAUGUAAUGUCAGAUGGAACUGCAAUCAUUGCACUGUCAAGAACACUUGCCUGGUUCCGCCGACAGAUGCUUAUCUCUGGAAUCCGUCCAAGCCGCAUUGAUAUUGUGACAGGAUGGGGCCGUAGGAGUCGUGUGACUGGAUCCUCUAUGGUGAGGCAAGCAGUACAGGAGUUGCUUAACAUGUUUGGCUUCCCAUUUCUUGCUCAGAAUGGAAAUUCAGGGUGCUUUGUGGGCUGUGGGGAGCCUCUCAGUAGAUGGUUGGUCCAGCCUUAUGUCGAGAGGAUGCAUUUGCUAUAGUAUCAAGCAUAAAUCACAAUUUUGUCAUGGAAGAGGAACUGGCUUCCUCAGGAAUUAGAAUGUACUUAGUUAUGUGCAGCUCAUAUGGAUUUCAGUUAGUUAUCCUAAUUAUGUUUUUCUUACUAAUCUCAUAUUGCAGAUUCUAUUUGUUUGAGUCUGACCUGUAAUUGGUAGUAAGUUCGUGUCUUGUGCGUAGCAGGGCCAUUUUCCCAAUUCUGUUUUAUUGUUGGAUCACAUUAUUGACUAUUAGAUGUACUUCUGAUCAACCAAAAGCAGGAAGUAGCCGCUGCACUUGGGCUUUG